rnacentral:rRNA from 1 species
UCCGUAGGUGAACCAGCGGAGGGAUCAUUACCGAGUUUUCAACUCCCAAACCCUUAUGUGAACCUACCUAUCGUUGCUUCGGCGGACUCGCCCCAGCCGGACGCGGACUGGACCAGCGGCCGCCGGGGACCAUCAAACUCUUGUAUUAUCAGCAUCUUCUGAAUACGCCGCAAGGCAAAACAAAUAAAUUAAAACUUUCAACAACGGAUCUCUUGGCUCUGGCAUCGAUGAAGAACGCAGCGAAAUGCGAUAAGUAAUGUGAAUUGCAGAAUCCAGUGAAUCAUCGAAUCUUUGAACGCACAUUGCGCCCGCCAGCAUUCUGGCGGGCAUGCCUGUUCGAGCGUCAUUUCAACCCUCGACCUCCCUUUGGGGAAGUCGGCGUUGGGGACCGGCAGCACACCGCCGGCCCUGAAAUGGAGUGGCGGCCCGUCCGCGGCGACCUCUGCGUAGUAAACCAACUCGCACCGGAACCCCGACGUGGCCACGCCGUAAAACACCCAACUUCUGAACGUUGACCUCGAAUCAGGUAGGACUACCCGCUGAACUUAAGCAUAUCAAUAAAGCGGAGG